rnacentral:tRNA from 1 species
AGGGAUUUAGCUCAGCGGCAUAAGCGCCUGCCUUGCAAGCAGGCAGUCGUGAGUUCAAUUCCCAAUACCGA